AUUGAACGCUGGCGGCAGGCUUAACACAUGCAAGUCGAGCGGGGGAGGUUGCUUCGGUAACUGACCUAGCGGCGGACGGGUUAGUAAUGCUUAGGAAUCUGCCUAUUAGUGGGGGACAACAUCUCGAAAGGGAUGCUAAUACCGCAUACGUCCUACGGGAGAAAGCAGGGGACCUUCGGGCCUUGCGCUAAUAGAUGAGCCUAAGUCGGAUUAGCUAGUUGGUGGGGUAAAGGCCUACCAAGGCGACGAUCUGUAGCGGGUCUGAGAGGAUGAUCCGCCACACUGGGACUGAGACACGGCCCAGACUCCUACGGGAGGCAGCAGUGGGGAAUAUUGGACAAUGGGGGGAACCCUGAUCCAGCCAUGCCGCGUGUGUGAAGAAGGCCUUUUGGUUGUAAAGCACUUUAAGCGAGGAGGAGGCUACUGGUAUUAAUACUACCGGAUAGUGGACGUUACUCGCAGAAUAAGCACCGGCUAACUCUGUGCCAGCAGCCGCCGUAACAC
rnacentral:rRNA from 1 species